ensembl:lncRNA
CUUUAUUUAAGGGUAUUGAUGUACCCCCAGUGGAGCCAUUUGAAAAAUACAAAGAAUUACUUCUUGUUCAGAGCUGGAAGUUGGUUUGUCUUCAGGUGGAGAUGAAGAUACCUAAUCAACAAACAACAUAAAAUAUCUGAAAAUAAGAAUCAGACCAGACCAAGGAAAUUGAAAUGUAAUGUUCUGUGAAAAGCAACACCCACUCACCUGGUUGGUCCUCACAUCAGUAGUCGAAUUAAAGGAAGCCAAUCGAAUAUGCUUCUGAAUAAGGUAUUUUACCGAUCGUUAAACCUAAACCUAAACUCCAAGCCUGAGCCUGACACUACUGGGUAAGUUGUUCCUAAUCGGAACACCUUACCCCUAAAAUCAACCCCCAAAAACCAGAAUCUUAAACGUUACCAUAAUCGGGGAAGCCCAACCCUAAAUCCAGCCAUAAAAAGAAACCCUUAAACCAACACAAAACCUAAGCCCUAAUAGGAAACCCGAACCCUCAACCCUAACACUGAUAGGGAACCCUUACCCACCUUACCCUAGAACCAAAAAAACUAAAAGCCCUGACACACUGAACGUCAAAGAAGCGGCAGCGACGAAGGCAGUCUGUUUUGUUGCCACACAUCGCCUGGUUCUUUGCAAAGAAGUUGCACGCAAAGACUACCGCCGUCGGCCAACUAGAACAAACAUUCUGCGCCUGCGUUAGAGGAAAUAUCUCUUCCUACCAGCAGGUUGCGGUGGUCUGUAUUGUCUUUCAAAAAGGGACAACCUAGGACUGUGGAUAUAGACACAUUGAACAAAGCAGAACUCUUCCUCAGACGGUUUCAUGGUACAGCUACUUCUAAUCGAGAAUUUGUGAAAAUAAUGAAUGAUCUGAUGAGAUAAAGGGGAAAAUUGAGACAAUCUCUGUGCGUGCCCUCUUGACGACCUUGUUUGCUGCUUUACUCACCUCCGUCUCUCUUGCAUUGAUUCGCUAAAGCUGAGCAGCCAAUCCGAGGGAUAUCUCUGGCUGACGGCCUCCAUCUCUUGAUUUAACAUGCUGGAUCGGCCCGCAGACACCCACCGAUGGCCUGACAUUGUCAGUCGGCCGCCCUGAUGUGUCUGGGCCUUAACCCUAAUAGGAAACCCUAACCCCAUAUCCAAACCCUAGAACCUAACCCUAAUAUAAAAACCCUAUCCUGAAACCAGAAACCAAACCUUUCAUCCAAACCUUAGCCCUGAAACCGACUGACAACCCUAAAGCCUAAACCCUUACAUCAAGAAAGCACAGGAGAAGUUCAGCUCUGUUCAUGCUUUAUCAAACACAGGUUUAAAAUAUGCAUAUUUCAAAAUAUCCAUGCAUAUCCACACAUAAACCACAAUGUCUAUGCAUAGAUACACACAUUUAUAUUAGUAUAUUGUGUCUAUUGAAUAAAAUAUCCCCGUUGCCUGGCAACAGUCUUUACAAAGGAAGCAUUCGGUGGGGUCAGGGGGGAGACAGGAAGUAGCAGCACAGUGGAAACAAAAUGGACGCCCGGUCACACUCAAUCCGUGUGUGUUUAUGUAAGUGCAUGUGUUUUUAUGUUUGUAUUUAUGUCUGAGUGUGUAUAUACUUGUUGUUUAUGUUUUAAAAUGUUACAUAUAUAGAUGCAUGUGUGUAUGUUUGUGCAUGUUGAAUGGAUAUGUAUGUUUGUGUAUCUUAAUCUUGUAUGUUUUUGUAUGUGUGUGUAUUUUGAAUGUGUGUGCAAGUUUCUGUAUGUUGUAUGUGUGUGUAAUUGUCCAUGUUGAAUGUGUGUGUGUGCAUGGGGGUUCUGUAUGUUGUUUAAGUUGUUGUGUGUGUUGUAUGUUUUAUGUGGGUUGUGUCUGUUGUUUGUUUUAUG